GGUCGGGUCCCAUGCAGUGGGGCUGAGGGACAACGGGUCAGGACCUAACGGUAGCAGCCCAGCCUUUGUGUUCCAGGUGCCGUGGUCAACCUGGCCCUC
rnacentral:SRP_RNA from 1 species